rnacentral:lncRNA from 1 species
GAUGCCCGUCCCCUCUACCCGCCCUGCCGAAGACCCGCCUUCUUCUCCUUAAGCCUGACGGAAUCACCUGACUCGGAGGCGCUCCCUCAGAAGGAAGGGUACUAGAUGGAAACUUGAGAAAGGACUGCUUAUUGAUAACAGCUAAGGUAUUCCUGGAAGCAGAGUAAAUAAAGCUCAUGGCCCACCAGCUAGAAAGUAUUCUUGCCAUGAGAAAAAGAAUGUGAUAAGUUAUUCAACUUAUGAAAUUCAAGUUACAUGUGAAUUCUGCCAGGCAAUACAAGGACCUGUGGAAUAUGAGUGAUGACAAACCCUUUCUAUGUACUGCGCCUGGAUGUGGCCAGGGUCUCACUCUGUCACCCGGGCUGGAGUGCAGUAGCAUGAUCAUGACACACUGAAGCCUCAACCUCCUGGGCUCAGGAUCUCUCAAUGUUGUCCAGGCUGUUCUCAAACUCCUGGGCUCAAGCCAUCUGCCUACCUUGGCCU